rnacentral:rRNA from 1 species
AUGACGAAGCGACAAGCAGUUGAGGCAUUGGACAAUAGCAUGCGUGACAUAUUGGGAAUACGCGACCGACCCUUUGGAGGAAAGACUGUUGUUUUUGGCGGGGACUUUAGGCAGGUGCUUCCGGUUGUCAGAAGGGGGUCGCGGGGCCGGAUUAUUGAUGCAACACUCCGAAGUUCUCAUCUGUGGAAUGGUAUGCGGCAACUUCGGCUCGUUACCAACAUGAGGGCUCAUAAUGACACUUGGUUUGCAGAUUACUUGCUUAGGGUCAGCAAUGGCACUGAGGAUGUCGACGAUCAAGGCAACAUACUACUCCCUAAAGACAUUUGUCUGCCUUCUACAGGCGAGGUUGAUGACUUGGAGAAGCAUAUUGACCAUGUGUUUCCGAGUCUAGAUGACAACAUGUCUGAUUCGAAUUACAUGACAUGUCGCGCAAUCCUCUCCACCACAAACGACAAUGUCGACAAGAUAAACAUCCGCAUGAUAGAGCGUUUCCAGGGAGAUGAAGUAAUAUACCAUAGCUUUGACAGUGCGGAGGAUGACCCGUAUGGCUACUACACUCAAGAGUUUCUUAAUGGAUUGACUCCCAAUGGUCUUCCUCCGCAUGCACUCAAACUAAAGCUAAACUGCCCUGUCAUACUUCUAAGGAACAUUGACCUAGUUAACGGACUGUGUAAUGGCACUAGGCUUGUUGUUAGAGGAUUUGAGAGGAACACCAUUGAUGCAGAAAUCUGA